AGGGCUAGCCUCAAGGUGAGAGAUACGGAGGUAGAGCACUGAAUGUCCUAGGGGGUAUUGCACCUACCGAAGACUAUCAAACUCCGAAUGCCGUCAUCUUAUACUUGGGAGUCAGACUGUGGGUGAUAAGAUUCAUAGUCGAAAGGGCAACAGCCCAGAUCGUCAGCUAAGGUCCCUAAAUGUAAGUUAAGUGGUAAAGGAUGUGGGAUUGCACAGACAACCAGGAUGUUGGCUUAGAAGCAGCCACUCAUUCAAAGAGUGCGUAAUAGCUCACUGGUCGAGUGAUCCUGCGCCGAAGAUUUCCGGGGCUAAAACUUACUACCGAAGCUACGGCAUCAGUAAUGAUGGGUAGGGGAGCUUCCCAUACGGGUUGAAGCAUGACCGUAAGGACAUGUGGACAGUAUGGGAGUGAGAAUGUUGGCAUGAGUAGCGAGAUGUGGGUGAGAAUCCCACAGGCCGUAAACCCAAGGUUUCCAGGGGAAGGUUCGUCCGCCCUGGGUUAGUCGGGACCUAAGCUGAGGCCGAAAGGCGUAGGUGAUGGACAACAGGUUGAUAUUCCUGUACUACCGAUAACCGUUUGAGAGAAGGGAUGACACAGUAGGAUAAGCUAAGCACACUGUUGGUUAUGUGUGCCCAAGCAUUGAGGCAGUCAAAGUAGGCAAAUCCGCUUUGAUAAUGCUGGGAUGUGAUGGGGAGCGAAAUUUAGUAGCGAAGUAGCUGAUUUCACACUGUCAAGAAAAGUCUCUAUCGAGGUUAAAGGUACCCGUACCGCAAACCGACACAGGUGGGUGAGGAGAGUAUCCUAAGGCCAGCGAGAGAACUGUUGUUAAGGAACUCGGCAAAAUGACCCCGUAACUUAGGGAUAAGGGGUGCCACCAUCAGGUGGCCGCAGAGAAUAGGCCCAAGCGACUGUUUACCAAAAACAUAGGUUUCUGCUAAGUCGCAAGACGAUGUAUAGGAGCUGACGCCUGCCCGGUGCUGGAAGGUUAAGGGGAUCUGUUAGAGCAAUCGAAGCAGUGAACUUAAGCCCCAGUAAACGGCGGCCGUAACUAUAACGGUCCUAAGGUAGCGAAAUUCCUUGUCGGGUAAGUUCCGACCCGCACGAAAGGCGUAACGAUUUGGGCACUGUCUCAACAACAGACUCGGUGAAAUUGUAAUUCCGGUGAAGAUGCCGGAUACCUGCGACAGGACGGAAAGACCCCAUGGAGCUUUACUGUAGCUUGACAUUGGGUCUUGGUACUACAUGUACAGGAUAGGUGGGAGGCUUUGAAACCAGGACGCCAGUUUUGGCGGAGCCAUCCUUGGGAUACCACCCUUGUAGUACUGGGACUCUAACCAUAGGCCAUGAAUCUGGUCUUGGGACACUGUCAGGUGGGCAGUUUGACUGGGGCGGUCGCCUCCCAAAAGGUAACGGAGGCGCUCAAAGGUUCUCUCAGUACGGUCGGAAAUCGUACGUAGAGUGUAAAGGCAAAAGAGAGCUUGAUUGCAAGACAUACAGGUCGAGCAAGGAUGAAAAUCGGACUUAGUGAUCCGGUGGUUCUGCGUGGAAGGGCCAUCGCUCAACGGAUAAAAGCUACCCUGGGGAUAACAGGCUUAUCUCCCCCAAGAGUCCACAUCGACGGGGAGGUUUGGCACCUCGAUGUCGGCUCAUCACAUCCUGGGGCUGUAGUAGGUCCCAAGGGUUGGGCUGUUCGCCCAUUAAAGUGGUACGCGAGCUGGGUUCAGAACGUCGUGAGACAGUUCGGUCCCUAUCCGUCGCAGGCGUAGGAAAUUUGAGAAGACCUGUCCUUAGUACGAGAGGACCGGGAUGGACGUACCUCUGGUGUACCAGUUGUCCUGCCAAGGGCAUGGCUGGGUAGCUAUGUACGGAAUGGAUAAGCGCUGAAAGCAUCUAAGCGCGAAGCCAACUUCAAGAUAAGAUUUCCCACCGCAAGGGUAAGACCCCAGAAAGACUAUCUGGUUGA
rnacentral:rRNA from 1 species